GAAGGUGUGUCGUGAGGCAUGCUGGAGGUAUCAGAAGUGCGAAUGCUGACAUAAGUAACGAUAAAGCGGGUGAAAAGCCCGCUCGCCGGAAGACCAAGGGUUCCUGUCCAACGUUAAUCGGGGCAGGGUGAGUCGACCCCUAAGGCGAGGCCGAAAGGCGUAGUCGAUGGGAAACGGGUUAAUAUUCCCGUACUUGGUGUUACUGCGAAGGGGGGACGGAGAAGGCUAUGUUGGCCGGGCGACGGUUGUCCCGGUUUAAGCGUGUAGGUGUGUGUUCCAGGUAAAUCCGGUUCACUUUAACACUGAGGCGUGACGACGAGGCACUACGGUGCUGAAGCAACAAAUGCCCUGCUUCCAGGAAAAGCCUCUAAGCAUCAGGUAACACGAAAUCGUACCCCAAACCGACACAGGUGGUCAGGUAGAGAAUACCAAGGCGCUUGAGAGAACUCGGGUGAAGGAACUAGGCAAAAUGGUGCCGUAACUUCGGGAGAAGGCACGCUGACACGUAGGUGAAGUGAUUUACUCAUGGAGCUGAAGUCAGUCGAAGAUACCAGCUGGCUGCAACUGUUUAUUAAAAACACAGCACUGUGCAAACACGAAAGUGGACGUAUACGGUGUGACGCCUGCCCGGUGCCGGAAGGUUAAUUGAUGGGGUCAGCGCAAGCGAAGCUCCUGAUCGAAGCCCCGGUAAACGGCGGCCGUAACUAUAACGGUCCUAAGGUAGCGAAAUUCCUUGUCGGGUAAGUUCCGACCUGCACGAAUGGCGUAAUGAUGGCCAGGCUGUCUCCACCCGAGACUCAGUGAAAUUGAACUCGCUGUGAAGAUGCAGUGUACCCGCGGCAAGACGGAAAGACCCCGUGAACCUUUACUAUAGCUUGACACUGAACAUUGAGCCUUGAUGUGUAGGAUAGGUGGGAGGCUUUGAAGUGUGGACGCCAGUCUGCAUGGAGCCGACCUUGAAAUACCACCCUUUAAUGUUUGAUGUUCUAACGUGGACCCGUAAUCCGGGUUGCGGACAGUGUCUGGUGGGUAGUUUGACUGGGGCGGUCUCCUCCUAAAGAGUAACGGAGGAGCACGAAGGUUGGCUAAUCCUGGUCGGACAUCAGGAGGUUAGUGCAAUGGCAUAAGCCAGCUUGACUGCGAGCGUGACGGCGCGAGCAGGUGCGAAAGCAGGUCAUAGUGAUCCGGUGGUUCUGAAUGGAAGGGCCAUCGCUCAACGGAUAAAAGGUACUCCGGGGAUAACAGGCUGAUACCGCCCAAGAGUUCAUAUCGACGGCGGUGUUUGGCACCUCGAUGUCGGCUCAUCACAUCCUGGGGCUGAAGUAGGUCCCAAGGGUAUGGCUGUUCGCCAUUUAAAGUGGUACGCGAGCUGGGUUUAGAACGUCGUGAGACAGUUCGGUCCCUAUCUGCCGUGGGCGCUGGAGAACUGAGGGGGGCUGCUCCUAGUACGAGAGGACCGGAGUGGACGCAUCACUGGUGUUCGGGUUGUCAUGCCAAUGGCACUGCCCGGUAGCUAAAUGCGGAAGAGAUAAGUGCUGAAAGCAUCUAAGCACGAAACUUGCCCCGAGAUGAGUUCUCCCUGAGACUUAGAGUCUCCUGAAGGAACGUUGAAGACGACGACGUUGAUAGGCCGGGUGUGUAAGCGCAGCGAUGCGUUGAGCUAACCGGUACUAAUGAACCGUGAGGCUUAACCUUACA
rnacentral:rRNA from 1 species